rnacentral:rRNA from 1 species
UAGGGAAUCUUCGGCAAUGGACGAAAGUCUGACCGAGCAACGCCGCGUGAGUGAAGAAGGUUUUCGGAUCGUAAAACUCUGUUGUUAGAGAAGAACAAGGACGUUAGUAACUGAACGUCCCCUGACGGUAUCUAACCAGAAAGCCACGGCUAACUACGUGCCAGCAGCCGCGGUAAUACGUAGGUGGCAAGCGUUGUCCGGAUUUAUUGGGCGUAAAGCGAGCGCAGGCGGUUUCUUAAGUCUGAUGUGAAAGCCCCCGGCUCAACCGGGGAGGGUCAUUGGAAACUGGGAGACUUGAGUGCAGAAGAGGAGAGUGGAAUUCCAUGUGUAGCGGUGAAAUGCGUAGAUAUAUGGAGGAACACCAGUGGCGAAGGCGGCUCUCUGGUCUGUAACUGACGCUGAGGCUCGAAAGCGUGGGGAGCAGACAGG